rnacentral:lncRNA from 1 species
UUUUCUCUUAGUUCAGGGGAUCUGCUAUAUCCUUCUGAAAACUUAUUAAGGCUAUGGGAUCUCCUAUAUCCCUAUGCCGUUAGGGCUUAGGGAGGUGCGGCGGUUUCGAUUGCUAAUUGGGGUCUGACUGGGUGCUCCAAUUGAGGUGCGGCGAAAAUCCAGCACAGAUUCAAGGGGCGAGUUGCGUCCGCGUGGUAGGUCCGCCUUCCACGUGGGGCGUGGGUCCUACGCAGCGGCCUGGAAACCCUAGGAUGCCGUGCCAUAAAGGAGCAGGUAGUGCGUCCCUCUUUAUAGGGGCGUGGCCCUGUAUUCACAGCCGGCAAACGCUGCUACUUCCUAUCAGACCGCAUGAACCCGUAAGGGGGAUGGACUUAGGGGGGCGUGCAUAUAGGUUAGGGUGCUUUCCUGGUCCUUCGGGGCUGGGCGGGCGGACCGGACAGUCGAUAACUGUGUCUGGCCCUCCGGGGCCUACCUUUUAUCCAGCAAUGGGCCUUACGAUACUGAAAGCGCGUUGGGGCUGGUAUCCUGGGACCUUCUCGUGGUGGCCCUGUUUAAACAGACCUUACCAGGAUAUUUGACCUGCUCAGUGAACAUGAAUCACAAUGUUACUCAAUUGUGUUCUCCUGCAGUUGUUUGAAUGAGCUGAGCAGUAAAUAGUUACACAGUAUUAUGUUGCUUUAAAGCUGACACAUUAAUGUUGAUAUAUAAGAAAGUUUCUGCAGCAUUGGAAUAAUGUUCACUGAGCAGGUCAUAUUUGUUUACGCUUUCUGUUGUAAUUCUGCUUGAAUGUUCAGAAUUGAUGAGGUUGUCGAGAGAAAACUGUUGAUUGAAGUUUGUAAUGAUAGCGAGUUCUAUUGAUUAAAGUCAAAUUUUGCAGGAAGCAAAAUGCUAAAAUAUCUUCAUCCAGAAAUGAAUCAUUCAUAAUUUAAACUGAUAACAGUUUGAAUCUAGUAUAAAGAGUGCAUCUGGAAAUUGUCCUGGUCAUAUAAAGAAAAAAGAACAAAAAGCUGCAGAAUUUGACGGGGGAUUCUGAACAACCAUAGACAACAGCUUUUGAUGUCUGACAGGAUUUUUGUUUUUAUUCAUGUCACACUCUACAGAAAUCCAAAGAAGACAACCAACACCCAGACCAAUCAACGAUCUCAUCUGAGCAGCCCACCGGACAGACUAGGAGCCCAGUAGAGCAGAUGGAUAGGAGUUUGAUUUGCAGAAUUGAUCAGUUCAGCGAUGUUGCCAGGCACUACCAGGCAUGUUAGCUGUGGAGCACACACUGCAUGAUGCCUACAUUGAUGUGGUAUCGUCAUGGCAACGCCAAGCAAGGACUGCAUCUUUGGAAACCUAGUGCAUGUAAAUGAGAUAAGAAAUAACCAUUGCAGUGAAAUCUGACACUGAAUAAUUCAUAGUUUGUUUUGGAAAAAGAAAUACAUUGUAUUUACAGAAAUAAAUUUAGAAUUGUUUUGCUGAGUAUAACCCAAAAGUUUUAUGCCCAUGGUAUUUCUUGUGAAUAGAAUCUUCCAAGAGAGUGCUUGAAUGCUAUGUAGGCAUGUUUCCUGCAAUUUUGAAGCAUUUUAUAUUCUUCCAAAAUUUGGAGAAAAAAAACAAGGGGUUAACCCUAAACAUUAAUUCAAAUUGUGUAACUUUUCAAUUCAAACUAGUUCUACAAACAAACAAACACUUUUGGAUGCAAUAUUAACACAUUUUGAUGUGCUUGAGAUGAUGAUUUUAAUGCAUCAGGUAUAAAUAAGUAUCAUGGAAAGACCAGUAUAAAUUUUUAUGCCAUAUCUUACUGUAGUUGGCACUCUCGCAAGAUAAGAUUUGGGAAUGUGUUUAAACGUUUCUAGUGCAUUGCACAUCGUUUGAAUUUCAGGUGUUUCUGGGGUUUUUUGCCCAAAAUGGACUUGUUUGCAUGUAACUUGGAAACACCAGUGGAUGCGAAAACAGUUUAAAAUUUCCCCAAGUAAAUCAUUUCAGUUUAUUAUUGGCCCAAAGCAUAUUUAAGUACUUUUACUGUUUUGUACUUUGUAAGUUUGUCCUAAAUUGGUGCAGACUAGUAAAUUAUUUGUUAAUUAUUGAAAAGAGGGUUUCAAUAAACUUGCCAUUAAUCUGAGA